UACGUAGGGGGCAAGCGUUGUCCGGAAUCAUUGGGCGUAAAGCGCGUGUAGGCGGUUCAGUAAGUCUGCUGUGAAAGUCCAGGGCUCAACCCUGGGAUGCCGGUGGAUACUGCUGGACUAGAGUGCGGAAGAGGCGAGUGGAAUUCCCGGUGUAGCGGUGAAAUGCGCAGAUAUCGGGAGGAACACCAAUUGCGAAGGCAGCUCGCUGGGACGUUACUGACGCUGGAGACGCGAAAGCGUGGGGAGCAAACAGG
rnacentral:rRNA from 1 species